GAGGAAUAUUGGACAAUGGGUGAGAGCCUGAUCCAGCCAUCCCGCGUGAAGGAUGACGGUCCUACGGAUUGUAAACUUCUUUUGUAUAGGGAUAAACCUCUCUACGUGUAGAGAGCUGAAGGUACUAUACGAAUAAGCACCGGCUAACUCCGUGCCAGCAGCCGCGGUAAUACGGAGGGUGCAAGCGUUAUCCGGAUUUAUUGGGUUUAAAGGGUCCGCAGGCGGGCCGAUAAGUCAGUGGUGAAAUCUCAUAGCUUAACUAUGAAACUGCCAUUGAUACUGUCGGUCUUGAGUAAAUUAGAGGUAGCUGGAAUAAGUAGUGUAGCGGUGAAAUGCAUAGAUAUUACUUAGAACACCAAUUGCGAAGGCAGGUUACCAUGAUUUAACUGACGCUGAGGGACGAAAGCGUGGGGAGCGAAC
rnacentral:rRNA from 1 species